AACGAACGCUGGCGGCGCGCCUAAUACAUGCAAGUCGGGCGAGAAGACGUAGCAAUACGUUUGUAAAGCGGCGAACGGGUGAGGAAUACAUGGGUAACCUACCCUCGAGUGGGGAAUAACUAGCCGAAAGGUUAGCUAAUACCGCGUACGCUCUUUGGACUUCGGUUCAGGGAGGAAAGCGAUACCGUGGGUAUCGCGCUCUUGGAUGGGCUCAUGUCCUAUCAGCUUGUUGGUGAGGUAACGGCUCACCAAGGCUUCGACGGGUAGCUGGUCUGAGAGGACGAUCAGCCACACUGGCACUGCGACACGGGCCAGACUCCUACGGGAGGCAGCAGUAAGGAAUAUUGCGCAAUGGGCGAAAGCCUGACGCAGCGACGCCGCGUGGGGGAUGAAGGUCUUCGGAUUGUAAACCCCUUUCGGGAGGGAAGAUGGAAUGGGGUAACCCAUUUGGACGGUACCUCCAGAAGCAGCCACGGCUAACUUCGUGC
rnacentral:rRNA from 1 species